rnacentral:rRNA from 1 species
AUUGAACGCUGGCGGCAGGCCUAACACAUGCAAGUCGAACGGUAACAGGAAGAAGCUGGCUUCUUUGCUGACGAGGGGCGGGCGGGAGCGCAGUGUCUGGGAAACUACCGGAUGGAGGGGGAUGACUACUGGAAAGGGUAGCUAAUACCGAAUAACCUCGCAAGAGCAAAGAGAGGGACCUACGGGCCCCUCGCCAGCGCCAUAGCCCAGAUGGGAAGAGCUAGUAGGUGGGGUAACGGCUCACCUAGGCGACGAACCCUAGCUGGUCUGAGAGGAUGACCAGCCACACUGGAACUGGGCCACGGUCCAGACUCCUACGGGAGGCAGCAGUCGGGAAUAUUGCCCCGUGGGCGCAAGCUCGCUGCAGCCCUGCCGCGUGUAUGAAGAAGGCCCUCGGGUUGUAAAGUACUCUCAGCGGGGAGGAAGGUAGUUCUGUUAAUACCUUCCCUCAUUGCCGUUCCCCGCAGAAGAAGCACCGGCUACCUCCGUG